AUACGUAGGGGACAAGCGUUAUCCGGAUUUACUGGGUGUAAAGGGAGCGCAGACGGCUUGGCAAGUCUGAUGUGAAAGGCGGGGGCUUAACCCCCGGACUGCAUUGGAAACUGUUAAGCUGGAGUGCCGGAGAGGUAAGCGGAAUUCCUAGUGUAGCGGUGAAAUGCGUAGAUAUUAGGAGGAACACCAGUGGCGAAGGCGGCUUACUGGACGGUAACUGACGUUGAGGCUCGAAAGCGUGGGGAGCAAACAGGAUUAGAUACCCUGGUAGUCCACGCGGUAAACGAUGAAUACUAGGUGUUGGUGACCACAGGUCAUCGGUGCCGCAGCAAACGCAAUAAGUAUUCCACCUGGGGAGUACGUUCGCAAGAAUGAAACUCAAAGGAAUUGACGGGG
rnacentral:rRNA from 1 species